rnacentral:tRNA from 1 species
GCGGAAGUAGUUCAGCUGGUAGAACGUCUCCUUGCCAAGGAGAAGGUCGCCGGUCCGAGUCCGGUCUUCCGCUCCC